rnacentral:rRNA from 1 species
AGAGUUGAUCAUGGCUCAGGACGAACGCUGGCGGCGCGCCUAACACAUGUAAGUCGAGCGAGGAGAUCCUCGGGAUGAUCCUAGCGGCGGACGGGUGAGUAACACGUGGGCAACCUGCCUCAUAGAGAGGAAUAGCCUUCCGAAAGGGAGAUUAAUACCUCAUAACAUUGCAGUUUCGCAUGGAACAGCAAUUAAAGGAGCAAUCCGCUAUGAGAUGGGCCCGCGGCGCAUUAGCUAGUUGGUGAGGUAACGGCUCACCAAGGCGACGAUGCGUAGCCGACCUGAGAGGGUGAUCGGCCACAUUGGGACUGAGACACGGCCCAGACUCCUACGGGAGGCAGCAGUGGGGAAUAUUGCACAAUGGGGGAAACCCUGAUGCAGCCAACGCCGCGUGAGUGAUGACGGCCUUCGGGUUGUAAAGCUCUGUCUUCAGGGACGAUAAUGACGGUACCUGAGGAGGAAGCCACGGCUAACUACGUGCCAGCAGCUGC